AAAAAAAAAAAAAAAGGAAAAAAAACAAAAAACAAAGAUUGGUACAUGGAGAAAGGAGAGAGAGAUCGACAGAAAAGAGAGAGAAACAGAGAGAUAGAGAUAGAGAGAAGGGCCACCCAGAUCUUCUGCCAUCACCGUAUUCCCAAUCAAAAGUUCAAACUCACUCUAAUUUCAGUUUCUCCUCCUAUGAAUACUCUCUCUUUUCGCUUCCUUUUGAAUUUUCUUAACACCAACGCUUGCGAUGCGGAGAUAGAGAAGGAGGAAAAAAAAAAACCUUGCGAUACAGAGAUGAUAAGGAGACAGAGUUCGUACGCACCACCGUUCGUUACCCUGCCAAAAUUAUACCACCGGAACCGGCACUGGUAACCUAAAGGUACAUGUAGGAAUUGAGAUACGGACAUAGAGAGAACUACCACCGAAUUUAGGGUUAUAUAUGAUUUAGGUUUGGAGAGGGCAAAGACAGAGAAAUAAGAGAGAACGUGAGUUCGUUAUUCAGAAAGAGCAUUGUUAACCAGAGAAAUCAGACAUCUUCCUAUCAGAAUGCCAGAAACCUUUAUCGCAGGAAAUGAUGCAACCCAAACUGACAUGGCUUAAAUCGCAUCGGGAUUGAAAGCUUGAACAACCAAGGCUAGAUUGAAUGCAACCCCUGGCAGUUCCUCAAGAUUGGGAGCAACACCAUAAAUGUUUUUUUUGCUUCAACCUGAUGCCAAACUCAAGAUUUAAUGUCAAAAUCAAAGUUUGAGAGGGAAUUUGCAGCUUGAAAGUGGAUGGAUUAAUUGCAUUUUGUACGUUAAUAGCAAUUUCCCAUUUUGAUUUGCAAGGACAUUCUCACAAAUUUUGAGACUACUAUGCCCCUCUUAGCAGAUAUGUUCUGAGCAACCUACUUACAAUGAACAUAAAGCAUAAUAUUAAAUUUGUAUCAACAAAAAUGGUGUCCUCACACACUAUAUAUAAAAGAAACAGAGGAAACAUGAACUUUUUGUAGUUAUAUUUUUUCAGCUUCUUUCAUUCCUGUUGUAACAGAGACAGAACUAAGUUAAACAUGCAAAAGGUUAAAUUUUAUUUGAAUAUUCAUGUUUUAUCAAUAAUUUUGUUGUGUCUAUUGCUAUGAAACAAAUUGGAGAGCUUGGAAAGGGUACUUUUUUCA